CAGAAAACCUCUGAACUGCAUCUAAGGGCAGCUGGACCAGCGAAUCCAGCUGGCUACCGACAGGAAGAUGAAAGGCCUGUUCUGGGUGACUGUGAUCUUCUUCCUGUCUGCUGGAAACACUCUGGCUGCUUU